GGUGGACCCAGCAAUGAAGAGGCAGAAUUGCUUCCGUUGCUAUACGGGCCCCAACUUUGGAGGCGACGUUGCCGCCCCCUGUCAAGAUGCUUCGAUUGACACUCAGGCAUUGCCAUCCAAGCCAUGCAAGGGUGGUAUCCGUUCCAAUGUCCUUUUCCCAACUUGCUGGGAUGGAAAGAAUCUUGACAGCCCAGACCACAAAGCCCAUAUUGCAUAUCCUACUACUGGCCCAGCAAACUUCCUAAGCCUGGGAGGGAGUUGCCCAUCAACUCAUCCAGUGAGAAUUCCUCAGCUCAUGUACGAGGUUGUCUGGGAUACUACUGGAUUCAACGAUCAGAGUCAAUGGCCCACGGACGGCUCUCAGCCUUUCUACUUCAGUUAUGGAGAUAACACCGGAUAUGGUCAGCACGCUGAUUAUGUUUUCGGUUGGAAGGGUGACGCACUUCAGAAGGGUAUGGACGCCUCUGGAUGCAUGGGCGCUAAGUGUAAGGACAUGAAGAACCAGGUG
rnacentral:misc_RNA from 1 species